CGUUGUCCGGAAUCAUUGGGCGUAAAGAGCGUGUAGGCGGCUCGGUAAGACCGCUGUGAAAGUCCAGGGCUCAACCCUGGAAUGCCGGUGGAAACUGUCGAGCUAGAGUCCGGAAGAGGCGAGUGGAAUUCCUGGUGUAGCGGUGAAAUGCGCAGAUAUCAGGAGGAACACCAAUGGCGAAGGCAGCUCGCUGGGACGGUACUGACGCUGAGACGCGAAAGCGUGGGGAGCAAACAGG
rnacentral:rRNA from 1 species